UGAACUACUAUGGUGAAGAUGGACUAGACUGCAUGCUGUAAAUUACUUCUAUUUUGGAUGCCUACAAGUUAUUACCACAGUUACGCAUAUGAAUCCUAGUUUUGUUAAUUUUGUCUAAACUAUUAUGAGUUAAUUAGAUAUGUUCCUAUUAGCUGCACUAGUUUAAGGAAAGCAACAUUUCUCUACAUAGUUUAAAAAUGAAAUGGUGAAAUCUUAUUAUCUUGAACAGUGCCUAUCACUCUAAUUGAAUUGGUGCCACAUGAAAGAGAUAUGCAUCACUAUGAUUAGCUGUAAGUAGAAAACUAAAAGCAGAUUUCACACGUUGUCACUUCACAAGAAAGACGACACCUAAGUUCAAAGUAAAUACCUUUGAUUAUUUUCUAGCAGUAGAAUCUUCAGUUUCUUGACACGUUCAAGAUCACUGAACAUGUAAAUUGCAGGAAAAUUCAACUUAUGCCAACUCAUUCCCUGAGCAAGGAUUAGUCAGAAUAACAUGAUUUGUAAAUUAAACUGAUAACAUGGACCAACAUUGUCCACACAAAUUUAAGAAACUCCAAAAUUUAGCAUGCAAAUCAGCAUCAAUUGGUCAUUUUCGGCUAAUGGGAAUACAUUUACUUAACGUAUUCAGCCAGCUACUAGAACAGGAUGUUGAUGCCUAUGCCAAAUACAAGAAAACGAAGAUAAUUCUCUCCCUCUCUUUACCUUUUGGAAUAAAGGACUAUACUUUCUCACUUUUCAUGGUAAGUGCUGAAAAGAAAGGAUGAUAACCACAUUUUAACCAAGCAUUACUGGUUUCACAUCUGGGAAUGUUCAAAGAGAUCAUAGCGAAGAAACUCCAAUUAGUAUUUAUUGCUAUAAAAUGAUAACCACAUUUUAACCAAGCAUUACUG
rnacentral:lncRNA from 1 species